rnacentral:rRNA from 1 species
CCUACGGGGGGCAGCAGUCGAGAAUAGUCUACAAUGGUCGGAAGACUGAUAGUGCGACGCCGCGUGAACGAGGAAGCCCUUCGGGGUGUAAAGUUCUUUUAUAUGUGAGCAGUGGGUUCUACGUUAAUAGCGUGGGAUCAGGGAUAUUAGCAUAUGAAUAAGCAACGGCUAACUCCGUGCCAGCAGCCGCGGUAACACGGGGGUUGCGAGCGUUGUCCGGAAUUACUAGGCGUAAAGGGCAGGUAGGCGGAUCUAUAAGUUUUUUGUCAAAUUCAACGGCUCACCCGUUGCUCGGCAGGAGAUACUGUAGAUCUGGAAUGCGGUUGGGGAAGACAGAAUUCCUGGUGUAGCGGUGGAAUGCGCAGAGAUCAGGAGGAAUACCUAAGGCGAAGGCAGUCUUCUAAGCCGUAAUUGACGCUAAACUGCGAAGGUGUGGGUAUCAAACAGGAUUAGAUACCCUAGUAGUC